rnacentral:rRNA from 1 species
UUAGUAACUGCGAGUGAAGAGGGAAAAGCUCAAAUUUAAAAUCUGGCAGUGUUUCACUGUCCGAGUUGUAACCUAGAGAAGUGUAACCUGCACUGGACCGUGUAUAAGUCUCCUGGAAUGGAGCAUCACAGAGGGUGAGAAUCCCGUCUUUGACAUGGACCACCAGUGCAUUGUGGUUGUGCUCUCAACGAGUCGAGUUGUUUGGGAAUGCAGCUCUAAAUGGGUGGUAAAUUCCAUCUAAAGCUAAAUAUUGGCGAGAGACCGAUAGCGAACAAGUACCGUGAGGGAAAGAUGAAAAGAACUUUGGAAAGAGAGUUAAACAGUAUGUGAAAUUGUUGAAAGGGAAACGUUUGAAGUCAGUCGCGUUGGUUGGGGAUCAGCCUAACAUUGUUGGGUUUACUUCCUGGUCGACGGGCCAACAUCAGUUUUGACUGCCAGAAAAAGGCCAAAGGAAUGUGGCACCUUUGGGUGUGUUAUAGCCCUUGGUCGUAUAUGGUGGUUGGGACUGAGGAAAGCAGCGUGCCGAAAGGCCGGGUUUCGACCACGUUCACGCUGAGGAUGUUGGCAUAAUGGCUUUAAGCGACCCGUCUUGAAACACGGACCAAGGAGUCUAACAUGCAUGCGAGUGUUUGGGUGGAAAACCCUUACGCGUAAUGAAAGUGAAAGUUGAGAUCCCUGUCGCGGGGAGCAUCGACGCCCGGACCAGAACUUUUGGGACGGAUCUGCGGUAGAGCACGUAUGUUGGGACCCGAAAGAUGGUGAACUAUGCCUGAAUAGGGUGAAGCCAGAGGAAACUCUGGUGGAGGCUCGUAGCGAUUCUGACGUGCAAAUCGAUCGUCAAAUUUGGGUAUA